ACCCUUUAAUGUUUGAUGUUCUAACGUGGACCCGUGAUCCGGGUUGCGGACAGUGUCUGGUGGGUAGUUUGACUGGGGCGGUCUCCUCCUAAAGAGUAACGGAGGAGCACGAAGGUUGGCUAAUCCUGGUCGGACAUCAGGAGGUUAGUGCAAUGGCAUAAGCCAGCUUGACUGCGAGCGUGACGGCGCGAGCAGGUGCGAAAGCAGGUCAUAGUGAUCCGGUGGUUCUGAAUGGAAGGGCCAUCGCUCAACGGAUAAAAGGUACUCCGGGGAUAACAGGCUGAUACCGCCCAAGAGUUCAUAUCGACGGCGGUGUUUGGCACCUCGAUGUCGGCUCAUCACAUCCUGGGGCUGAAGUAGGUCCCAAGGGUAUGGCUGUUCGCCAUUUAAAGUGGUACGCGAGCUGGGUUUAGAACGUCGUGAGACAGUUCGGUCCCUAUCUGCCGUGGGCGCUGGAGAACUGAGGGGGGCUGCUCCUAGUACGAGAGGACCGGAGUGGACGCAUCACUGGUGUUCGGGUUGUCAUGCCAAUGGCACUGCCCGGUAGCUAAAUGCGGAAGAGAUAAGUGCUGAAAGCAUCUAAGCACGAAACUUGCCCCGAGAUGAGUUCUCCCUGAGACUU
rnacentral:rRNA from 1 species